AAGGAAUCACGUAGCAGAGAGCGAGUCCAUAUAAGAUGGUUGCAGGCGAGGUCUCCUCAUUCAGAUCACUCAUUCACACUAACCCUAGCUAGCAACCUGCAACCUGCAUAGUAUAUUGCAUUGCGCCCAAGCUUUCUUCUUCUUCUUCUUCUUCCCUCGCCGACAACCUCCUCCGUUUGCCCGGCCAUUGUUCUUCAGAGCUUGGUCGCGAUAGAAAGAAAUGAAAUUGUAGCUAUGAUGUUGGCCCGGCUCACUCAGAUGGAUCAUCGGUGCAGAAGAGUGCAUGAAUCUGAUGCAGUCUCAGUGUAGUAUGCUCCAUGCUGGAACUUCUGAUUGAGCCGUGCCAAUAUCUCAGCACCAUUUUUAUGCAAUCAUGCGUACAGAUCACUCCCAAAGUCUCAAUUUACCAUCACUAAUCUGCGGCUAUAUAUAUGGCGCUCGUCGGCUGGGGAACUGAUGAAGAAUUCUUCGAUCGGAUUUAAGGCGUCGCAGACUUGCAGUUACAUGCAUCUUCCUGACGUUUCCAUUCUGGGACAUGGAAAUCAUCGUAGGGAGCAGCAAGCAAAUAUAUAAAGCAGUUGAUUUGUGCAACAAACUGUAGUUAGUUGUGUUUAUCUGAAAUCUACAUAUUCAUAUGUUAUGUUUCAAAUUUUUUUGGUGAACAAAAUGUAAAUUUAUCGUUGUUUGUCCUCUCUAUGUAAUUUUCUACUCUUUCUGUUUUCAAAUGGAAAAUUAUUUUAUUUAUCCCUGUACAUGUACUCUGAUUUGUGUACUGGACUCCCUCUCCUUUUGAAUGGAACUAAAGGAUUUCAGGAGGGGAAACUCUCA